AGCAGCCGCGGUAAUUCCAGCUCCAAUAGCGUAUAUUAAAGUUGUUGCAGUUAAAAAGCUCGUAGUUGAAUUUCGGGGUUAGUAGGUUGGUCGUGCCACUGGUAUGCACUGGCCUCACUGAUUCCUCCCUCUUGUAGAACCGUAAUGCCAUUAAGUUGGUGUUGCGGGGAAACAGGACUGUUACUUUGAAAAAAAUUAGAGUGUUUAAAGCAGGCUAACGCUUGAAUACAUUAGCAUGGAAUAAUGAAAUAGGACGUUCGAUCCUAUUUUGUUGGUUUCUAGGAUUGACGUAAUGAUUAAUAGGGAUAGUUGGGGGCAUUAGUAUUCAAUUGUCAGAGGUGAAAUUCUUGGAUUUAUUGAAGACUAACUACUGCGAAAGCAUUUGCCAAGGAUGUUUUCAUUAAUCAAGAACGAAAGUUAGGGGACCGAGACGAUCAGAUACCGUCGUAGUCUUAACCAUAAACUAUGCCGACUAGGGAUCGGAUGAUGUUAAUUUUUUUAAAUGACUCAUUCGGCGCCU
rnacentral:rRNA from 1 species